rnacentral:rRNA from 1 species
GUCCACGCCCUAAACGAUGUCAACUGGUUGUUGGGUGACUUGAUCACUUAGUAACGUAGCUAACGCGCGAAGUUGACCGCCUGGGGAGUACGGUCGCAAGAUUAAAACUCAAAGGAAUUGACGGGGGCCCGCACAAGCGGUGGAUGAUGUGGAUUAAUUCGAUGCAACGCGAAAACCUUACCUACCCUUGACAUGCCAGGAAUCCUGCAGAGAUGUGGGAGUGCCCGAAAGGGAACCUGGACACAGGUGCUGCAUGGCUGUCGU